AACAGGAUUAGAUACCCUGGUAGUCCACGCCCUAAACGAUGCCUACUAGUUGUCGGGUUUUAAUUAACUUGGUAACGCAGCUAACGCGUGAAGUAGACCGCCUGGGGAGUACGGUCGCAAGAUUAAAACUCAAAGGAAUUGACGGGGACCCGCGCAAGCGGUGGAUGAUGUGGAUUAAUUCGAUGCAACGCGAAAAACCUUACCUACCCUUGACAUGUACGGAAGGCCGAAGAGAUUUGGCUGUGCUCGAAAGAGAACCGUAACACAGGUGCUGCAUGGCUGUCGUCAGCUCGUGUCGUGAGAUGUUGGGUUAAGUCCCGCAACGAGCGCAACCCUUGUCAUUAGUUGCUACAUUUAGUUGAGCACUCUAAUGAGACUGCCGGUGACAAACCGGAGGAAGGUGGGGAUGACGUCAAGUCCUCAUGGCCCUUAUGGGUAGGGCUUCACACGUCAUACAAUGGUACAUACAGAGGGCCGCCAACCCGCGAGGGGGAGCUAAUCCCAGAAAGUGUAUCGUAGUCCGGAUCGCAGUCUGCAACU
rnacentral:rRNA from 1 species